GAUGAACGCUGGCGGCAUGCCUAAUACAUGCAAGUCGAGCGAACAGACGAGGAGCUUGCUCCUCUGACGUUAGAGGCGGACGGGUGAGUAACACAUGGUUAGCCUACCUAUAAGACUGGGAUAAAUUCGGGACACCGUAACUCAUCCCAGAUAAUUUAUUGAACCGCAUGGUUCAAUAGUGAAAGACGUUUUUCCUGUCACUUAUAGCUUGCUCAGCGCCGCCUUAGCUAGUUGGGAAGGUAACGGAUUACCAAGGCGACGAUGAGUAGCCAACCUGAGAGGGUGAACGGCCACACAUGAAGUGAGAAACGGUCCAGACUCCUACGGGAGGCAGCAGUAGGGAAUCAUCCGCGAUGGGCGAAAGCCUGACGGAGUAAAGCCGCGGGAGAGAUGAAAGUCAUCGCAUCGUAAAACGCUGUUAUUAGGGAAGAACAAAUGUGUAUGUAACUAUGCAAGUCUUGACGGUACCUAGUCAGAAAGCCACGGCUAACUACGUG
rnacentral:rRNA from 1 species